AACACACAAGUACAGUUGGGGACCUUCCCAGCUUCGUCUGAUUCAGACUGAAUUCCUCUUGCUACCUCCUCAACCUCAUUCCCCCCAGUGACAUUUCAGUUUUCUCUGGGGUCUCAGGAGACCACAUCUUCCUUCCUCAAUACCACCAGAAGAGGAAAGAGAAUUUAUGAUAUGUCAGUCCUCGUCUUUUACAGACAUGAUCUUCUAGCAAGAGCUCUGGAAGAAGGUAUUGUUAUCUCCAUGAGGGCCAGAGAAUUUAAGCAAUUUUCCCAAAUUCAUGAAGCCAGAAAAUGAAAAACAGAGAUUGAUACCUGGGUCUUCCUGACCACAAAGUUCACUCUGUUCCACUAUGUCAUCUUGCUGUCUACCACAUCUAGGAUCAAACUCAGUCUAGCACUCACAGAUUUCCUUGAUCAGGAUCCAAUUUUAUCCAACCAGUUUUAUAUUAGCCCCAAAUUUCAUCCAAGCUAAGUACCAUGUGGCCUUCCUUAAGGUAGGAUGUAUGUUCUGGCCUAGAAUACAUUUCCCUUCUCCUAGCCUAGGUUUGCACAUUCUUCAAGGCUAUGUUUAUCUUCCAAAGGAUUCUUUUGACUCCUCCAGCUCCAGUUUUUCUCCUCCUAAACAUUUGAUGAGUUUGGAAGUUGAUGUCCUUUGUCCUUUGAAAAGCAUCCACCUGCUUUUCCUCUGGAGGAUGGAAAGACAACUGGCUCUUUCCCCAGACGACUCCAGCAAACCCCACCUGACAUCUCAGCCCAAUCACAGCUACGAGGAAGCUAACCAACAUGAUAGGAAUGGAAGAGUGGAAGAUGGAACUUGAGCUCUCGAUGACGUUGUCAUGGUGCUGAGUGGAAUAAUCCCGAAGAUGCACUACCUCAGAACUCCUUGUUGUGUGAGCUAAGAAAUCCCUUAGCUGUUUCAGCUGUCCUGAGUUGAGUUGUCUGUUUCCCAAGCUGCUCCUGUUUCAUAUUCUUACUCUUCUCAUGAAACUUUGAAUGUGCCUGCAACAAAACCCUUACUUAGGGGCCAGUUAUGGAGUAAGAGUAAGGCCUCUCUCCCUGUCACUGUGUGAGAGGUCUCCCGGAGUGCAGAGUGGGAUACUCCUAGAAUGCCAGUGGGCCCCAAAGAGAGACAUGGACUCCCAUCAUAGCUCGAUUCAAAGGCAGCUUUUCUAGAUUUUGGUAGCCCACCGCAGUAGCCAAAAAUGCUCAUUGGCUUGAAGGAUUGAUGGAUACAUGGACCCAACUUAGAAAUUGGUUCUUAGGCUCACCUUUGGUCUGGGUCUGGCUCUGAGUAACCUCCUGCUGUGCUCUGGUGUUUUCAGGAUGCCCAGACACUAUCUGUCUUCUGUGUAAUCCUUUAUAGGAUUAGCUCAGCAGACUCAAAAUGCUCAAAACUUGCACAUUCUAAGGAAAGGCCUGGCAGAUAACCUCUAGGCCCUUGGAAUAUCCUUCCUGAUCAGAGUGUCUUCAUAUAAUUGAUUCUUUGAUCCAAGCCAGAUCAUCUAUGCUAAUGAUGUGAUUUAUGGGGAACAUCUGUUUCAUCUGCCUGGGGCGUUGGGCCACACUAUAUCCCUUUGACUCUUGGAGACCUGGAGACUGAGUAGUUAAGGUCAGUCACUCAGGUGCUCCUUGCCUAUGUGAGUGACCCCCAGUAACAACCCUGGACACGCAGGCUCAGGUGGGUGCCCUGGCUGGCAAUAAGACUUUGUAGGUGUCCAUCACAUAUUGUUGUUGAAAGCAUUAAGUACAGCCUGUACAUUUCCUCUGGGAGAAGACCAAUGGAAGGAAGCUUAUGCCUGGUUUCUCCUGCUCUUUGCAUCUUCGCCUUUACUGAUUUCAAUCUGUAUUCUUUGCUGCAGAGAACAUACAUUUACCAGCUUUUCUGAGUUCUGUGAGUCCUUCUAGAGAAUCAUUGAGCCUGAGGGUGGUUUUGGGGAUCCCCGACACUCCACUACACAGAAACCUAGAACUUCUGUUGGGAUCUCUUAUAUUCUUCCUAGAGUCACAUAUCAACUCAGUAUUUUACUGGGUCAACUGGUCCCCUGGAAAGAGCCCUGGCACACGGAAGACUUGGAAUCCUCUCCUGGUUCCAUGACAUGGCACUGACAGGGCCUUGGGGAAGUCACAGAUCUCUAAUCUGUCCUCUUUGGCCAAGUAGGACAAUAUCUGCUCUGUCUACUAUAAUGGGUCAUUGUGGGGAGCACAUCAGAUAAUGCACGUGACAACGUUUUGAAAAAUGUAUGGAUUUUUAAUGAUUAGAUGUUGCAUACACUUUAAACACUUGACACAGAGGUGGAAUAUUUAGUGGCUAACACUGAGUGCUGAAUUUGUGCCAGGAACUUUAACACGUACAGGCUGAUUUAAUCCCCACUCUGGAAUCAGCCUCACGUUUUAUCUUCAACAGAAACUUUGUGAAGAGGAAAUCAAACAAACUUUCCACAGUUCUAUAACUAGUAAAGAGCAAAACUAGAACUCAAACCAUAGCCGUCUGGUUGAAGAGCCCAAGAGAUCACCCAUUUUACAAUGCAAUUCUGUUCUUUCAAGUGCCUCCAGUGAAUUCAGUCUCUUAAAUGUAAAACACCUUAGAGAUGUAAAAUACCAAUAACAACCUAGAAACAAUCCCUAGACCAAGGUUACUAGAGAAAAUACACUUGUCUUACCUAAGACAAUUUUCCUUCCUUCUGGGUCAGGAUACUCAACAAAUAAACACAUCUUGGGACACUUACAGACACACCAUCCAACAACGUUAACAAGAGGAGGGGGCUUGACUGCUCUUGCUCCCUUUC